rnacentral:rRNA from 1 species
GUCUGGCCUGCCCACUGAAGUAUUUUAAAGGGCCGCGGUAAUUUGACCGUGCGAAGGUAGCAUAAUCAAUAGUCUUUUAAUUGGAGGCUGGAAUGAAUGGUCGGACAAGGAGUGGGCUGUCUUCUCUAUACUCGGCGAAGUUUACUUUUAAGUGAAAAGGCUUAAAUACACUUAAGGGACGAUAAGACCCUAUAAAACUUUACAGUAUAAUUUAUAUUUUAUAAAAUAAAAUAUAACGUUAAUUAUGAACUAUCUGUUAUGUUGGGGUGACAAAGAUAUAAUUAGUAACUGUCAGGCAAAAAUAAUAAUAAUACUUAGGUUAGUUGAUCCUCUAUUAGAGAUUAUAAGAUUAAGUUACUUUAGGGAUAACAGCGUAAUUUUCUUUGAGAGUCCUUAUCGACAAGAAUAGUUGCGACCUCGAUGUUGAAUUAAGAUUUCUCUUAAAUGUAGCAGUUUAGGUAGUAGGUCUGUUCGACCUU